GAAAGUAAAGUCGUAACAAGGUUUUACGGAACAACAAGUCCUUCCGCUGGUAACACUUGCCGAAUCCUUAGACAGCCCGAAAGGGUGGCUCCUGACGACUCUAAACAACCAGGGAGCCUCAAAUGCUAGUCCGCCUCGCGAGGUGGGCAACACUGUCAAAUUGCGGGAACACCCUAAAGAUCGUCGACACCAAGCGCUGACCGGAAACGGCGGCGUGGCCGAGCUAACAGCCCUGGGUAUGGUAACAGCUCGACGAUAUGAGCCCGAGCGAUCGGGGGAAGUGGGCAACCUGCAGCCAAGUCCUAACGUCCUCCGGGGACCAUGGAUGCUGUUCACAGGCCAAAUGGCAGUGGGUGGACCAGGUCGAGUGCCUGCGGUCUGCUUAAGAUAUGGUCGGGCCCGCGGUGAAAGCCGGGGGGUUAAGUUUACCCAGCAUGGAGACGCACGGCGUGGCUGCCGUCUCCUGUAAACAUCAACUGUUCCGUAGGUGAACCUGCGGAAGGAUCAUUAAAGAGUGAGGGUCCUCUGUCGGCCCAACCUCCCAACCCUCUGUGUACCUACCUCUGUUGCUUCGGCGGGAUGCUGAGGUGUUAACCCACCUUGGCCGCUGGCUCUCAGCCGGCGCGCGCCCGCCAGAGGCCCUACCAAACUCUGUUUAUCAGUGUCGUCUGAGUUAAUACACAAAUCGUUAAACUUUCAAACAACGGAUCUCUUGGUUUCUGGCAUCGAUGAAGAACGCAGCGGAAUGCGAUAAGUAAUGUGAAUUGCAGAAUUCAUGAAUAAUCGAAUCUUUGAACGCACAUUGCGCCCCUUGGCAUUCCGAGGGGCAUGCCUGUUCGAGCGUCAUUUCACCACUCAAGCUCUGCUUGGUAUUGGGCCCUCGUCCGACCGGACGUGCCUGAAAACCAGUGGCGGGACCGCCCGACUUCAAGCGCAGUAAUUUCUUCUCGCUUUGGAAGGACGGGUCGAGUCGCCAGCCAGAUAAACCCCUUUAUCUUUUUAUGGUUGACCUCGGAUCAGGUAGGGAUACCCGCUGAACUUAAGCAUAUCAAUAAGCGGAGGA
rnacentral:misc_RNA from 1 species